UACGAAGGGGGGCUAGCGUUGUUCGGAAUUACUGGGCGUAAAGCGCACGUAGGCGGAUAUUUAAGUCAGGGGUGAAAUCCCAGAGCUCAACUCUGGAACUGCCUUUGAUACUGGGUAUCUUGAGUAUGGAAGAGGUAAGUGGAAUUGCGAGUGUAGAGGUGAAAUUCGUAGAUAUUCGCAGGAACACCAGUGGCGAAGGCGGCUUACUGGUCCAUA
rnacentral:rRNA from 1 species